UGGGGAAUCUUGGACAAUGGGGGAAACCCUGAUCCAGCCAUGCGGCGUGAGUGAAGAAGGCCCUAGGGUUGUAAAGCUCUUUCAGCGGGGAAGAUAAUGACGGUACCCGCAGAAGAAGCCCCGGCUAACUCCGUGCCAGCAGCCGCGGUAAUACGGAGGAUGCAAGCGUUAUCCGGAAUGAUUGGGCGUAAAGCGUCCGCAGGUGGUGAUGCAAGUCUGCUGUUAAAGAGUGUAGCUUAACUACAUAAAGGCGGUGGAAACUGCACCACUAGAGAACGUUCGGGGCAGAGGGAAUUCCUGGUGUAGCGGUGAAAUGCGUAGAUAUCAGGAAGAACACCGGUGGCGAAAGCGCUCUGCUAGGCCGUAACUGACACUGAGGGACGAAAGCUAGGGGAGCGAAUGGGAUUAGAUACCCCGGUAGUCC
rnacentral:rRNA from 1 species